UACGUAGGGAGCAAGCGUUGUCCGGAAUCAUUGGGCGUAAAGCGCGUGUAGGCGGUCCGGUAAGUCCGCUGUGAAAGUCGGGGGCUCAACCCUCGGAUGCCGGUGGAUACUGUCGGGCUCGAGUACGGAAGAGGCGAGUGGAAUUCCUGGUGUAGCGGUGAAAUGCGCAGAUAUCAGGAGGAACACCAAUUGCGAAGGCAGCUCGCUGGGACGUAACUGACGCUGAGACGCGAAAGCGUGGGGAGCAAACAGG
rnacentral:rRNA from 1 species